UAGUAGAAGUUCAUUACAUGCUUUGAAGCACGUGUCAUAAGUCUCUCUCUAUAAGGUUUGUGUCCGUUCCCUUUUAACAAAACCCUAGGUCAUGGCUGGGAUGUACAAUCAAGAUGGCGGCGGCGGUGCCCCUCCUCCUUCUUACGGCGGUGACGGUUACGGCGGAGGUGGAGGCUACGGAGGCGAUGGUGGAUAUGGAGGCGGCCGUGGAGGAGGAGGUUACGGCGGACGCGGUGGUAGAGGAAAUCGAGGCGGUGGUGGAUAUCAAGGAGGGGAUCGCGGUGGAAGAGGCAGCGGCGGCGGUAGAGGUGGCGGUCGCGGAGGAGGUGGUGGCGGUGGCGGUGGCAGAGAUGGAGAUUGGCGCUGCCCCAACCCUAGCUGCGGGAACGUGAAUUUUGCGAGAAGAAUUGAGUGUAACAAGUGUGGUACACCCGCUCCUGCUGGUACGGGUGAUCGUGGAGGUGGUGGAUAUAACCGGGGAGGAGGUGCUGGAGGUUAUGGCGGUAGUCGAGGAGGUAGAAAUGAUAGUGGUAGGAGCAACAGCUAUGAUGGUGGUAGAUUUGACGCUAGGAGUGGUGGUAGUGGUGGUGGUGGUAGAUAUGGUAACAAUCAGCAGAGGGAAAAUGAAACUUACGGGCAGGCACCUCCGGCUGCUAUCCCUUCAUAUGAUGGGUCUGGUGGCAAUUAUCCACCACCCUCGGGUCCAGCGGGUAGCUAUCCAAGCUACGGAAUGGAGGCAGUUCCGCCACCUUCGAGUUAUGCUGGUGGGCCUCCGUCAUACCCUCCGUCCUAUGGUGGUGCUGUUGGAGGUUACAAUGGGGAUGGGCAGAGGAGUGGUGGUAGAGGUGGUGGUCCAGCUGGUGGUGGUGCUCCACGUCGCCAAGAGGGUGGUUAUGGAGAUGCUGCUGCUGAUUCCCGUACCCAAGUCAAGCAGUGUGAUGGGGAUUGCGAUGAGACAUGUGAUAAUGCGAGAAUAUACAUUUCAAACUUGCCUCCAGAUGUGACCACUGAUGAACUCAGAGAUCUCUUUGGUGGCAUUGGCCAGGUUGGGAGAAUUAAGCAGAAGCGGGGCUAUAAAGAUCAGUGGCCCUGGAAUAUCAAAAUCUAUACUGAUGAAAAGGGAAACAAUAAAGGCGACGCGUGCCUUGCUUAUGAAGAUCCUAGUGCUGCGCAUUCUGCAGGCGGCUUUUUCAACAAUUAUGAAAUGAGAGGGCAUAAGAUCAGCGUUGUGAUGGCGGAGAAGUCUGCCCCUCGUGCUCCUGCAUAUGACCAGAGAGGUGGUGGGAGAGGUGGCUAUGGUGGUGGGGGAGACAGAAGAAGGGAUAACUAUGGUUCGGGACCAGAUAGAAACUACCAUGGUGGAAACCGGUCGAGACCAUACUGAGAGAGAAGAGAGCAGCUGUUGGGCUCUACUGUUGAGUGUAGUAAAAAAAAAAAAAAGAAUGUGUUUGAGGGGAUUUUAGUAAUGUUACAUUGAUGAUGGGAGUUGUUCUAUGAAACAUCAUAUGGAGAUAAAAGAGAAGCAAGAGGAUAGAAUAACUCCAAAACGCUUUGCUGGUAAGGUAGGUUCAUGAUGAUUUCAGGUGAGUCUUCCCCCUCACGUUCAAUCUUAUUUCUUUCCCUCUUUUAAUUUGGAAACUCCAUUCUAGUGUAGCUUUACCAUCUUGGUUUAAUAAACAUAUAUGGGGCAGAUUCAUCCCUAUACUUGCUUCAUUUUAGGCCUCUGUUCAGGUUUACAGAACCAACCCAGACCACCAACAAACUGUUUCCGGCCAUUGUUAUGGUUCUGCUUUUUAUAUACACGCAUACACACACAAGAAAAAAAGAGUUUUUAUUUAUUGAAGAGCUGGGAGGGGGGAGAGUAGGAGCAGCACUUGAAGGGUAUUUAGAUGAAAAUGUGGUAGAUGUGGAGGUGUUGCCCCGUGUAUGUCUCCAGUUCAGGCGUCAAGAAUUAUCUAUUUACAUAUAAUACGAUCCAAGUUCCCUCUUGUCGUUAUGAGAUUAGAGCUAACCUUUUUCAUAUACGGAAUAGAGGGUCUUUUGUCCUUUUUUAGUUUUGUCCAAAAGAUUGCCCUACUUUUUAUUUGUAUCACGCUUAUGUACUAUUCAUGACUAUGGAAACAAAGGUUAUAUAAAUA